GUCAGGUUUCCAUAGGAAACCAUGCUGUUGGAAGCUGAUUCUUCCAGAGGUCUAACACUAGCCUCUGUAAGUCAGGAAGGCAGCUUAGCAGGCCCACUGGGAAGUAGCAGAUGGAUAGGAAAAUGACAUGCUUUCCAAAAGUAUUUAAAUAUCAACUCUCUUUUGUUACAGCUGUGUAAGAGCCAUAUAAAAUCAAGUAACAUGUAGGAGAGAAAAGGGGUCAUGAAGGAGGAGUUUGAGCAAAAAGUAAUGCUAAAAAAGAAAAAAAAAUCCAUUGCAAAUGGUAAUGUAAAUAAGGUAAAACUUGAAAACUAUGAAGCAAUACUGCAGAUAGUCAUGUCUGAAGGAAUACCUAGAGGGUUCUUUUUGGUGGUGAUCUUCACUCCUGGAUCUGAAUUUUUCUGGACUGUCUCCCUUACCACUUCUGCAGGACACAAUUGCAACAGAAUUUUCCUUGAAUCAACGGAGGACUAUUACUUGAUGAGAUCAUUGUUUUCAGGAAGUGUUAUAGAAAUGCGAUUACCAGACACUGAGGUUUUUUAACGUAUAAAAUAGGAAAGAGAGAGGACAAGCUGUGGUGAAGAAAAUGCAAGCAUUGUACAACUCAACAGACCUCCUGUCCCAGAGAGAUUUAUUUACUGGAAAUUACGACAAUGAUUUAUGGGCAGCUGGAAUUUGCAUGCAUUGCUCCGAAUCUGUGGAAGAAUCUAUGUGGUUGUUCAUGGCCUUCAGAAACAUGGAUGCUGCAAAGCAGAGCUAUGGAGAAUAUGGAAAGCAGGCUCAAAAAGCAUCUGCAAAUCUGUGCCAAUAUUAUUGCCUCUGUCAUCAAGCAAUGGAAAGGUUUUUCUAGUUAAAUUCAAGUAAUUAAAUCUCCCUGCUCUCAUUAAAAAAAAUACAACUGUCUGCUGCUGGUCUGAAGAAUUGCACAGAGUGAACGUAAAUUUUAAUUUCAUGGUGCAAGUGUUAAAUUAUUGCCAUCUAAGCUGUCUGCCAGUGUUACAUGAAAUCCCACCACAUUUUAAUAAUUCUCCCUUUGUUUUGGAUGGAAAUACCACGUGUUGUGAUUUGGAAGUUUUUAUGUGCAAUUAGAGCCCUGAGAACUACAACAUAAUCACAUUCAAUUCACCUAAUUGGACAGCGAGGAAACUGUCAUUUCUGAAAUGGUUUGUGUCUUUUGGAAUGUCUGUGUGUAUACACAUGCGUAUAAAAUGAAACAUUUUCUCACCCAUCCUGUGUUAAAAUGUAAUAGAAACUCCUGCUAACUGAAGUUGAAGAUAUAGCUGGGUGUUCUUUAGUAACCUCAAAACAUAUACGUGUGCGUGUAAAUAAAAAACUGUCCUUCUAAACACAAGGAUCCUUCCCUCCUACUUACUUUGCAACAUCUUAGUAAGGAUUUGCCAUCAAUUCCCUCUCUUUACAGUGCAUUUGAUGACAUUUUACAGAUCAUCAUACUAAAUAAGUAAGAACCAUCCUCUGAUUUAGAAGAAAAACCUUUAUUUAUUUCAAUUUAUUUUGGGAGUUCAGAAGUAAUGACAAACUUGACAAUCUUCAUGACAAACAUGACAAUCUUCACAUCACUUUAAGCUGUGUGACCAAAAAGCCAUUAGCUUCACAGAAACAGACAAUACAUUUCAUCCUGAAACAACACUUAUGAUCAACAUUUAUGCAAUCUAUAGGUACUUCCUAUAUUUGUAUCAAUGCAAGUAAGAAGACAUGGAGUAUCAAACCAGCAAGGGCUUAGAAAUAUCAAGCCCAAGAGUUUACCCAUUUACUUCAGUGGAAAAUAGUGCUAGUAAAUAUCAAUACAUAUUUUAAUCUUUUAUUUCAGUAAUUUCCAUGUAAAAGCAAACAUAUUCUGCCAACUUUAUUCAUUGUCUUUGAUCUUUUUUUGAAGCAUAUUAUGAUAGAUUUCUGAAUCUUUUAAUUCAAUGUUGAAGUAGAUAUUAAGUAUAUCACAACACCAAUCCACACUAAAUAGAACUUUUGUUUUUUGUUCUUUUGCUGAAAUGUCUGACAGUAUUUCAAGAAUAAUUUAAUUAUGAACUUUAUAUUAACAAAAGACAAGUGAUUUUUUAUUCCAUUCAGUGUGGAAUAAGAUACUACCUAUAUUUGUUAAGCCCUGUGUAUCAACCAGAAUUUGCAAAGGGAAGUUAUCAACUUCAGAUACUCAUUCUCCAUUUCCCAUAAAUAUGUUAAAAAUACAAAGUCAGCUCCUAAGUUUUUCAUCAAAUAAACUAGCUUAUUAAGAUUAAGUGGCCUGAAACCACCAUCUGUGAGUUCACAUUUAUAUCUAGAAAACCUGUAUAAUCAUGUGUAUUGAGAGUAAGGCUUAGUGUUGGAAGGCCCAACCUUGUAAACAAGCUUUGUUUACACAAGAAGACAAUAGGACUCUUCUUUUGUUUCAGAGUUUACAUGUUCAGAGGCUGAGAUCACUAUUUUUGAAAUGUGAUGAUGGGAAUACAAAGUAAUUACCUUUAUGAAGGUUUUACAAAGAAUCCUGUAAGUAAAGCCCAUGACAGAAAUAUAUAGUGUCUCCAAAGAAACAAUUAUGAUGUAUUGUGUUUGAAUAAUAACUCAGAAUGUUUUAUCAUCAUCUGUUUACAUAAUAAGUCAUAAUAACUUUUCAAAAUAUGGUGCUUGCAUUUUUAUUAUUGUUUUAAGUGUACAUAGGGGAAUUACUACAGCCUAGAAUCAUAAACUUUGUAAAACUUUGUUGAAGACUGCAUUUUUAUUCCCAUCCUCUUCUGCUCAAACAAAAAUGUAAAGGAAACAACACACAAAUAAAAGUACGCUAAAAUAAUCCCAUGUGUCUGGCUAAAAGAAAAGACAGGAAAUUCUUAAAAGUGUGGUUAUAAACUGAAAAAUGCCUUUAAACAUGGCUUCCUACUGUCUCACAUUUAUAUAUUCAUAAUUAUUUCACUAUCAAUAUUUUCUUUGCUUAUAUGUACACAAAUUACAUUAUUCAACAUGCCAAGACCACAUUCUCAGUCUGAUAUCUGGAAUACAAAGCCCUGUUGUCACUGGCUUCUACUACAGUGUUAAAGAUGGAACUGAGAGAAAUUCCUAGAUUCCCUCUCCUGGAAACUUUAUGAUUUAAGCCUACUUCUGACCUUUAGCAAUAUUUCCUUGGGGAGACUGAGGUCCAAAUUAAACUUUCAGGAAUUACAAGAGAAAUUUCAAUGAACUCUAGAGAUGCCAGAAAGACAAAUGACAAAAGUAGUUAAAGCAAAAGUGCUGAGCACGUCUUAAGUGCUUCAAUUAGAACUCUUGUUCCCCACAGGAUGUUCCAGAAAGGUGUAGAGGUGCUCACAGACCCUCACAAUGGUUUCAGACAUCUAGCCCACAAAGUAGAAUCCAAAGCCAAGAUUAGAGAGCUGUUACCUACAGAGAACAGAUGAUGUUAUGUGAGAGGACUAACAAAGUAGAAACAUUAUGGAGUUAUCUAGAAUCUAACUCAUAAUUUUGAAAGUCAGAUAAUGCCAACCUAUGUAGUUGAGGCACUCUGUCACAGUGGAAGACUGUGGUUAUUUCCAUCCACUCAGUGUCCACAGACCAUCAAGGUAAUUCAAUUUUUGUUUCAAAGGCUCCGUUUUUUUAAAAAAACAUAACCACUGUUGAAGAUGAGAUGUUAAUAAUGGAACAUAGGAUUAUUCUUAGUUCUACUAUUUACUGAAAAAUAGACAUACAAACUGUGUGGGGCAAAGACAAAGGCCAGAAUCCUGCUUGCUCCAUAAAAAUUGUUUCCUUCCUCAUUUAUCUCCUUGAAUCUUAAUGAGUUUUGCAGUUGUAGUGCACAUCUGUACAGCUAUGUAGACUAGCCUGGGACCCAGUGGGUAAGGUGUGCCUCCUCAGAAAUUAGAGUUUAAAAUACCUGAGGUCAAAGCAGAUGUAAAAAGUUGUCUCCUUCUGAAAGGUUUCCAGUUUUAUUGGCAUAUACUACGUUUGUCUGAGUGCACUUUCCAGGUCUGUGCUAUAAGCUAACACUACCAUUUAUCUUCUGGAUUCCCAGACUGUUUAAGUCAGACAGAGGUACAUGCCCGCUUCACCCUGAGCCCUUCUGCGAAUGGUCAGAAACAGAAUACUGUGUGAUCUCAAAAAGAUUCAGAGCAAACAUGGAAGACAGUUAUGUUUAAAUGACACUCUGGUUGGGCAGGCACUGAACGCAGUAACAGUUUCAACAUAGACACCUUAAACCUUCCAGUAUUCUAUUUUAGGUUUGUUCUUCAUUCUUGCAUCACAGCAGGAGUUGUACCCUUUAUCAGUGUUGAUGUCUUCUUAAAAGAGGGUCUGUGACCGCAUUUGAAGUAUCUCUACUACCAGUUGUGGUGAUUUCACCCUGAUGUGCAGCUAAACUACUACAUCAUUCUCCUGUUACUCCUACUCAAAGGAAGAGGGGGAGAAAAUGAAAUGAAAAAAGGCUCAGGGUUUGAGAUUACCGUCACUGAUCAGUGAUUAUGAGAAUAAAUAAACAUAGUGUGGAAAAAUCUUUGUAUAGUCAUUAAAAUACCCAAGUGUGGCAUUCUAGUAGAGAUUUAAUAAGGAGAAGAAACUGACCCUCAGACUUAGGAAUUCAUUUUCUUUACUUUUCUACAAGGACAGACAUACAUCUCUCUAUCUAAUUUAUAUAUACAUACGUAUAUAUAAAGCAAAGCUUUUAAAGAAUUUUUAUUUAUCAUUGUAAAAUCUCUACUUAGAAUUGGAAAGAGAUAGAAAAAAAAAAAGUAGACUUUGAUUAUCACCUUGAUACAUCUAAGUGUUUACAGUGGGAGCUAAGCUGUAGCAUAGCAAUGUAAUAAAAAUAGAAAGUAAAGUGACGUAAAAAGUGCACUGAGGACUACCUUAUAACUAAUUCCAAACGUUCAAGAAUAGUAAAUGGUUAACAGUGAUGCAAAAGGAAAUUACAGAAAAAACAAUCAAAAAGGACUCCUAAACAAUGAAAGGAAACAAAAAAUUAAUAAAGCAGAAGACUGAAAAACAGAUAAGGAGAGCAAAACGGUGAAAGAUUUCACAGAAGAUUAUGAAAUUAGCACAAAAAAUUUUUAAACAAUCCUAAGAAUAAACUGUCAUUGAAGAACAGAAUAGGGAUUGUGGAGGAUCAUUUUUUAAGGGAUGAGGUAAAAAAAGAUGGAAAAUUUAAACAAAUUCUUCGCAUAGCUGUUCAGAAAGAAAUGUCAGCUCGCAGAGCUGUAGAAAUAUAGGUACAUAUUUUCUGGAGCAAAAGGAAGGAUAAAACACCUAAGUAAACACACACUGUAUGUGACAUAGUACAGAUGACAAUCUUAGCAUGUAUCACAUAAAAUAAUUUCUCAGUGCUAAAGCAUAUGCACUUCAGAAUUCACAGAAAGGGACAAAAAACAGCAUCACUCUUCACAAGACUAAUUUACAUCACUUCACCAUUCAGAUAACUUUUCCUUUUCAAAAUGUUGCUUUGAAGUCACAUGGGCUACUUACAUGACUGACAACUCUAGGACUGCAGUGAAAAAGAAGUUUCAGUGGAAUUAAAGAAAAAGUAACGGGAAGUGUGCAGGAGGUAUCUGUGCAAAGAAGGGCCCCAUGCAACUCCUCUCACAGCUUGCCUCUAAAAACUCAAGAACUGGGUUUAAAUGAGAGAAACACCUUGUCUUUCUGGCAAGUUUUAGCAAUGCCUUCUAUGCAGGAAAGCAAUUUGCUUCAAGACCAAACAGAAAUGCACACUGGUUAAGAGUGAUAUAUUACAAAAACAACAGAGUAUAGCUAAAUUCAGCAAAUUAUGAAGCAAUGGCUAUUUCAGUGAGAGUCAGAGAUUCGUCUAAUGAGAUCCAGGAGUUUCAGCUCUGAACAAAAAGUGAUGAAUUCAAGCUUAAAUUCCUACAAGUAACCCCUAUUCUACAUUAAAGGUAACCAUCCAUCACAUUUUUAACUACAUCUACAAGGGAGUUCAGUAACUUCAGUCUAAAAAAUUCAAAACACAGACAUAUUUUCAGCCAAAACAAAGCCAGAGCCAGCAGUAAUUUUAAUUCUUUUCACUAAGUAUUGUUCUGGCCAUAAGACUAUGUGUAAAAUGGAUGUGGUUGAAGCCACAAUGGACUGUAAGGUUUAUAGGAUGAACAAGUUGCUAAGGAAGAGCUUGCAUGCCUAAAAACUUACAUUAUUCCAGCUGGAGUGCAUCCUGUAACAACAGUACUUCUUUAUUCUUCCAUAUCUUCCCUAAAAAGCUGAGCGCUCUGGCUGAAGACAGGCCAGGAGAGGCGCAUGGAUGUUUGCCUUCUUCAUGUUGCCUGAAAACCUAGUCCUUGUCUCAUCUGGGAACAGGACAGUCAUGCCAAGUGGAUGCAUCUCCCUGCAUCUGUGGAGAGACAGCAAAUGUGCUGUCUGGAAAGUAUCUGUGUUCUAGGAGGUGAGAAACUGGCUUGGGCUGUUUGAUUUCACUUCUACUCAGAGAAAUGGGGCAAUGAACUUUCUAAUAAACAGGUUUGGUUCACAGAGGGAUGACUCCACCAUCGAUCAUUCCACCAGAGGAAUAACUCAAGAUUCGAAAAUUUUAACCAGAUAAUUUUAUCAAAAGAAUAAUAAAAAAAAAAAAAAAAAAAAAAAAAAAAAAAAGGACCAAGUAAUGACUUAAAACAAUUGCUGUGAUAUUACAUCUACAUAGGAUCUACUGGCCUAUAUGUCAGUUUUAAUCUGCCACUGGUUAAAUCCUACAUACUGAGCAAAAUAACUUACCAACACAAUACAUGCAAAGUAAAUAAAUACUCAAGCAACACUCUAUGUCCCACAUCCACUCAGAUACCAGAAGUGUGUAUUUCCAGUCUGUGAAAUACAAUGAUAAGUAAAAACAGUGAUUCUCCAUGAGUGCAUUACUCAGAAGAAGCAAUGUUAAGGCAGUCAGUGUGAUCUUUAAAAAUCACUCCCAGUAAAUAAAUAAAUAAGCACCUCUACCUGCACAGCUAUCUGAAGACAAGUUAACAAAUUCUGUUUUCCACUUAUUAGCAAAUCAGUUGUUCUGUAAAGAAUACAUGAUCAAAACCUACAGCAACAGCUGGCACAUGUAUAAAGCGGGGCAAAAAAAUUAAGAUGAAGUAUUUCUGACAAAAAAAUAUAUGAAACAAAACAAAGUUGAAAACUGAAGCAGAUAUCAGAUAACCAUUUUGUCAUUUAUAAAAUACUUUUUCAGGACAAAAGGGGUUGCCAUACCUUUUCACUCAGCAUAUCCUCAGAGUCACAUAUUAAGCUGAUCAAAUCCGAGGGUACUGCAGUAAGCUGAAGCUUGAAGCUGCCUCCACUUCCUUCAUUUCGUUUACAGUUUUGUUUGGGGGUUGUUCUUUUUUUUCUUUUUAGCUUGCAGAAACCUGAGGGAAAAAAAUAUUUUGGGGGUUACUAUCGAAAUAGUUUAUUCAGUAGUCAAUUAACUGAAAAAAACAAAUAGUUCUAAACUGAUCUCUUAUAUACCAUGCCCCUUUUUAUAUCAUAGUUAUUGGUUCCAUUCUGUUGUUAUAUUUUACUGAAAACAUUAUGAAUAUAAAUGAGAAUAGUGCACAAAGAGCAGAGGUGAAGAUAUGUCCCAUUAGAAAUCUGCUUUUUUACUUACAUUUACUGAGGUUAUCAAGUACCUCUUUAUGAACUCUUCAUCCCUUUCUAAAAGGUAAAGUUGAAAUUGGGAAAUAUAUUGCAUCAGUUAUUGGGCAUUCUGGGGUUUUCCAUUAUUUUAAAAACCUCCUAUGUGCCUAAUUAUAGCUAAUAAGUACUGUUUAGAAACAUAGCAGAGAACUCAUGAUUUCCUUCUUCACCCAAUGCCCAGAAAAUCCAUGUCCGAGAACAAAAUCUUGAAGGUAUUUGUGAUCAUGACCCAUUCUCAUUAUCUGUAUCCAUUCUAAGAUUUUUAUAUUAUAUGAAUGAAUAUUUUAAAGUGAAAUUAUAGUAUUCAAUGGCAAAUUACAACUACAUGUGACCAAGAGAGGAUUAAACCCAUCAUUUUGCUUAAGAGCUCUGAUGGCUGGAGUAAUUGGAUGAUAGCUGUAGGGCAUCUUUUUGGUCUGUAAUUAGGUCAUUUCUUUCUCAUCCCUUCACUGUGUGUAUAAUUACGAAUUAAUUUGAAAUCCCACUGUGAGUAAAGAAAGUCAGUUUAAUAUAACGGAAGUGCAAAAGCCACAAUAUAUUACUUUUUAAAAACUGCUUAUUUCAAAAUACUCAGUCUGGCCAAAAGUUAUAUCCCUAUGUACUGCAAGGCUUAUAUUUGGUUUCUUUGCUAACUUUGUACAAGUGCUGCUCUGAAAGUAAUGCCUCCUGUUUUAUUAUGUUGGUGUGCAAUGUCAGAGGUGGAUUUUGGUGGUACAUCAGGAGAGGUUGAACCUUCACACCAGUAUUCCACUACAUUUUGUUGCUGUGUGACAGAUGGCAGCAGAGGGUCAGUCUGACAAAAUGGCUUCUGACACGGAAGCAUCUGAGAAGAAAAGAUGUGGAACUGAAUUCCUCCAUGUGGUAAAAAAAUUGCAUCCAUUGACUUUCACUGAUGCUUGCUGAACAUUUAUGGAGAUCAAACAGUGGAUGUGAGCUCAGUGAGGUUGUGGGUAAUGUGUUUCAACAGCAGUGAUAGUGGCAGUGGUUCACCUCCACCGGUGCAAAUUUUUACAAGAACAGCAAGCAGGUUCUCGUUCAUCGUUGGCAAAAAUGCAUAGCUAAUGACAGUGAAUAUGCAGCAAAAUAAAGUUUGUAUUUGAGAAUUUUCUCUAUGAAAUAGUGUUAUUGUGCUCUUUGUAUUUGUUGCAGUUUCUAUGGAAAUAAACAGCAAGUAUUACUUUUGAAUCAAUCUACGUUCCUGGAUGUAUUUUCUCUCUUAAAAUAAAUGAAUUUUCAAAGCACCACACUUUGCUCCAGUAUCUGUCAGUAGGUGUCAACAGCACAAAAAGGUAGUGGAAAGAAAUAAAAAGUAACCAUGAGAGUCUUGACAGACAGUAUUAGCAUCAGAGAACUUAGAGGCCACUCUCAACACAGUCAACCAUUUUAUCCUUUAGUCCUGCCAUUAUUUCCUUCCACUGAAACUACCUUUCUGCUUUUACCCUGAAAGUGUUAAACACUG
ensembl:lncRNA